ACGAACGCUGGCGGCAUGCCUAACACAUGCAAGUCGAACGAACCCUUCGGGGUUAGUGGCGCACGGGUGCGUAACGCGUGGGAAUCUGCCCUUUGCUUCGGAAUAACUCAGGGAAACUUGUGCUAAUACCGGAUGAUGUCUUCGGACCAAAGAUUUAUCGGCAAGGGAUGAGCCCGCGUAGGAUUAGGUAGUUGGUGGGGUAAAGGCCUACCAAGCCGACGAUCCUUAGCUGGUCUGAGAGGAUGAUCAGCCACACUGGGACUGAGACACGGCCCAGACUCCUACGGGAAGCAGCAGUGGGGAAUAUUGGACAAUGGGCGCAAGCCUGAUCCAGCAAUGCCGCGUGAGUGAUGAAGGCCCUCGGGUCGUAAAGCUCUUUUACCAGGGACGAUAAUGACAGUACCUGGAGAAUAAGCUCCGGCUAACUCCGUG
rnacentral:rRNA from 1 species